GACGAACGCUGGCGGCGUGCCUAAUACAUGCAAGUUGAGUGCUGAAGGUUGGUACUUGUACCAACUGGAUGAGCAGCGAACGGGUGAGUAACGCGUGGGGAAUCUGCCUUUGAGCGGGGGACAACAUUUGGAAACGAAUGCUAAUACCGCAUAAAAACUUUAAACACAAGUUUUAAGUUUGAAAGAUGCAAUUGCAUCACUCAAAGAUGAUCCCGCGUUGUAUUAGCUAGUUGGUGAGGUAAAGGCUCACCAAGGCGAUGAUACAUAGCCGACCUGAGAGGGUGAUCGGCCACAUUGGGACUGAGACACGGCCCAAACUCCUACGGGAGGCAGCAGUAGGGAAUCUUCGGCAAUGGACGAAAGUCUGACCGAGCAACGCCGCGUGAGUGAAGAAGGUUUUCGGAUCGUAAAACUCUGUUGGUAGAGAAGAACGUUGGUGAGAGUGGAAAGCUCAUCAAGUGACGGUAACUACCCAGAAAGGGACGGCUAACUACGU
rnacentral:rRNA from 1 species